rnacentral:rRNA from 1 species
ACUUCAUGGAGUCGAGUUGCAGACUCCAAUCCGGACUACGAUCCACUUUGUGGGAUUGGCUCCCCCUUGCGGGUUGGCUACCCUUUGUAUGGACCAUUGUAUGACGUGUGAAGCCCUACCCAUAAGGGCCAUGAGGACUUGACGUCAUCCCCACCUUCCUCCGGUUUGUCACCGGCAGUCUCAUUAGAGCGCCCUUUCGUAGCAACUAAUGACAAGGGUUGCGCUCGUUGCGGGACUUAACCCAACAUCUCACGACACGAGCUGACGACAGCCAUGCAGCACCUGUGUGUCAGUUCCCUUGCGGGCACACCCCCAUCUCUGGAGGUUUCUGACCAUGUCGAGGGUAGGUAAGGUUUUUCGCGUUGCAUCGAAUUAAUCCACAUCAUCCACCGCUUGUGCGGGUCCCCGUCAAUUCCUUUGAGUUUUAAUCUUGCGACCGUACUCCCCAGGCGGUCGACUUCACGCGUUAGCUGCGUUACCAAGGAAAUGAAUCCCCGACAACUAGUCGACAUCGUUUAG